GUGAGGAAUAUUGCGCAAUGGAGGCAACUCUGACGCAGCCAUGCCGCGUGCAGGAAGAAGGCCUUCGGGUUGUAAACUGCUUUUGUACGGAACGAAACGGUCCGGGUUAAUACCCUGGGCUAAUGACGGUACCGUAAGAAUAAGCACCGGCUAACUACGUGCCAGCAGCCGCGGUAAUACGUAGGGUGCAAGCGUUAAUCGGAAUUACUGGGCGUAAAGCGUGCGCAGGCGGUUUUGUAAGACAGGCGUGAAAUCCCCGGGCUCAACCUGGGAAUUGCGCUUGUGACUGCAAGGCUGGAGUGCGGCAGAGGGGGAUGGAAUUCCGCGUGUAGCAGUGAAAUGCGUAGAUAUGCGGAGGAACACCGAUGGCGAAGGCAAUCCCCUGGGCCUGCACUGACGCUCAUGCACGAAAGCGUGGGGAGCAAACAGGAUUAGAAACCCUAGUAGUCC
rnacentral:rRNA from 1 species